rnacentral:rRNA from 1 species
CCCUUAGAUGUUCUGGGCCGCACGCGCGCUACACUGAUGCAUUCAACGAGUCUAAAACCUGCUCUGAUAGGGGUGGGUAAUCUUCUGAAUGUGCAUCGUGAUUGGGAUAGAUGAUUGCAAUUUUUCAUCUUCAACGAGGAAUGCCUAGUAAACGCAAGUCAUCAGCUUGCAUUGAUUACGUCCCUGCCCUUUGUACACACCGCCCGUCGCUCCUACCGAUUGAAUGAUCCGAUGAAUAUCAUGGAUUGAGGAUGCAAGUAGGUUCGCCUAUCUUCAUCUUCGAGAAGUGAAGUAAAUCUUAUCAUUUAGAGGAAGGAGAAGCCGUAAC